rnacentral:rRNA from 1 species
GCAACUCGCCUACAUGAAGUCGGAGUUGCUAGUAAUCGCGGAUCAGAAUGCCGCGGUGAAUGCGUUCCCGGGUCUUGUACACACCGCCCGUCACACCAUGGAAGUUGGGGGCGCCCGAAGUUGCCUAAGAAAUAAGGUACCUAAGGCGAAACCAAUGACUGGGUGAAGUCGUAACAAGGUACC